GUUGAACGCUGGCGGCAUGCUUUACACAUGCAAGUCGAACGGCAGCGCGGGCUUCGGCCUGGCGGCGAGUGGCGAACGGGUGAGUAAUGCAUCGGAACGUGCCCAGUAGUGGGGGAUAGCCCGGCGAAAGCCGGAUUAAUACCGCAUACGACCUGAGGGUGAAAGCGGGGGACCGAAAGGCCUCGCGCUAUUGGAGCGGCCGAUGUCGGAUUAGCUAGUUGGUGGGGUAAAGGCUUACCAAGGCGACGAUCCGUAGCUGGUCUGAGAGGACGACCAGCCACACUGGGACUGAGACACGGCCCAGACUCCUACGGGAGGCAGCAGUGGGGAAUUUUGGACAAUGGGGGCAACCCUGAUCCAGCCAUGCCGCGUGCGGGAAGAAGGCCUUCGGGUUGUAAACCGCUUUUGUUCGGGAAGAAAUCCUCUGGGCUAAUACCCCGGGGGGAUGACGGUACCGGAAGAAUAAGCACCGGCUAACUACGU
rnacentral:rRNA from 1 species